GGGUCUCCUGCGCCCGCCGCUCUCGCCGUCUGUCCGUCCAUCCCUCCCGCCGUCCUCCCGCGCUCCGGUGAGUCCAGGUCCCAACCGCGGGCGCCGCAGGGAGGAGAGGGACGAGGGCAGCCCGUGCAACUUUGCACCGGGCGACACCCUGAGGGUUUUCGGGACCCCGGGGGCCCCCUUUGUGCCUCGGGUCCCUUCUGCUCGGGGCCGCGCGGUGCCGCUGCAGAGAGCUACAAGAGGAGAACGUUGUGGUAACCCAGGCAGCUUCACCCCGGGGGACCCAAGUCGCUCCCGCCUCGCAAUCCCUGGCUCUGGUGCAGGGGAUUGUUCUUUUCAUUGGCCCUUGCGCUGGCGUUACGCUUGCUGCUACCUCGGAUGGUCCCGGAGGCGUGGAUGGGUUGUGCCAAGGCUCCUAGGAGCUGCCAGGGAGGGGCGAAGGCAUGGUGAUAGCUACACUAGUAACCAGAACAAUAACAAACGUGAAGGGGAUGCCGGGUGGUGUCGCUACCCGAGGAGAGCCCCUGGCCCAUCAUCCCCGAGACGCCUAGGCUGCCCCGUCCAGCCUCGGCUCCUCCUCCCGGCGCUGUCCGGCGUCCCGGGAUUGUCCAUGUCUUAGGGAAGGCUUCUUUCUGACCCUCUCAGUGGCGGUGACUUUCGUCUGCAGGUGGUAAGUAGGGAUGAAGCCAACGUUGGCUAUUGUCAAAUGCCACGUUUUGUUUAUUUCAUUUUUUUUUUCUCGAAAAGAAAGGGGAGAAUAUUCUGAACCAGUUCUGGCAGCCAUACAGUUUCCACAGGAAAUACUAGCAUUCUUUGAGGAACACGCUACUGCUUGCAGCAAAGAAAGUCUUCAGGAGACAAAAAGGCAACUGCAUUGUUGCUCAUUUCCAACUAGCCGCUAGGAGGGUGGAAACAGUGUUGUUUUUUCCUGCGGGAACAUUGCUUUCCUUGGGAAAGUUAAUUAAGGAAGCAUUGCUGGCUGUGCCCUUUUUUUCACUUGCUGGAAGUGGGAUGCCACUCCUCCUGGUUAUUACUGACAAGUGUCCAUCUAAUAGCCCCUGGGAAGAAAGAGCCACCAACCACCGCAACAGUCUCCCCACACACCACGUGCUGUGGAGCUCGGCCAGGGCACAGUUUGCAAAAUGAAAUAAGGACUAUCUUGGGAGAUUUAUGGGGAUUACAUUCGCGCAGACGUCAGUUCUCCAAGGUGUCAACUCUAAACACAUUAUGGUCAGGCAUCAUUUCGGCGCUGAAUCUGCAAGCAGGCAAAAAAAAAAAAAAUUCUCAUUAUGAAGCAGACAUCUCAGUUGGGAAUAAGUUCAAAUCUGUAUUUCAUUUGUACACAUUGAAAAAUUCAAAAGUCAAGAGAGCAAGAUUGUAGAAAGGCCCAUAUGCUAAUGUGUGCACACCUGGGAGGCAGUGUCUAUUGGCUGAUUCUGAUGUGACUUGAUAUUAAAUUACUUCCUACAUAGCAAAAUGCAGGGAGAUACCUUUAAACUGUCCUUACAACUAAUAGAAGAAUGUGUGACAUUUGGGGGCUGAUCACAGAAGUCUCUUUCUCAGGGAACAUUAACCAAGUAUUGCCCAUAAUGGAAUAACUCGAGUUUCCAGGUCUAGAUCAGAAAGUAAAUGAUGGCACUUCUCUUAAGAGUCAUAGAACAUCACUAAUGUUAGUAAUGCUGCUAAAAGGGAGGUUUAUAAAGAGGUUUUAUCAGUUUGAACAUAACCUUUAUCAUCCCUCAGAGGUUCGUGAAGAGAGUUUACAAGACAGUACAUCUGAAAUGGUACUGCAUUCGCUAAUUCGAUGUUUCUAUUUGUCCGUGUCUGAAAGGAAGUGACUAAGGUCCGUGGAUUUCUGUGUGCCAUGUCACAGCUUUGCUGAGUCCAAGCAGCUGUUCAGUGCAGGUGUGCAGUGGAAACAGGGAAUAGAAGCCAAAAUCGUUGGGAGCACGGUUGUUUUGGAAGGACUUGGAGGGACUUCACUGUGCCUAGGAGGAGGGAAGCCCACAAAAACAUCUAAAACAUACAAAUGCUCUUUGAUAUCAUCAGAGAAAGCCCGGAGCCAUGUUUCUUGCCAGAUUUAGCUUGUUUCUUGUGAAAAGAAGAAAUCUCCCAAAGUAGCAGGUGCAUCAUUAGAAGAAACACAAGGGACUUUCUCUCUUAAAUGCAAAAUCUAAUUGAAGAGCCACAAGAGGAUCCUGUGACACUCUUAGAGAAAGAGCCUAGUUUUUGGCACUCUUUCAGGUUACAGAUGCAAAUCCCAUAGGAGAAAUGUGUGUCUUCGGAGACAAAUAAUAGGUGGCGAGAAUCAAAUAGUUGCUUCUGUGAAACAGGAACCUGUAUAUGCUUAUUUACUUUUGCUCUUUGACUUAUAUGCAAAUUCACUUGCAGAGUAAAAUUUCCUGAAAUGAAUACAUAAUUUGGUCUCUUAGCUAAACACUAUGCAUUAUUUUCCAGUUAGUUGAUAAUAGACUUUAUAUUCUAUGGUUGGCAGCUUGAAUCUUUUAUUAAACCUUUAAAAUUAAUGACCAAAGCUGGACCCAGUGACAGGUGGGGCACAGGAGGAAAAUUACGAGGUCAGGGGUCAUGUGUUAUCCUUAGUGAUCUCCAAGCCAGCUUGUCUC
rnacentral:lncRNA from 1 species